GUCUCUUGCUCUCACUUAUGGAAAUACGAAGGAGGUGGGCGGAUGCGGGAACAAAAUUCUGGUUUAUAAAGUAUUACUUUUGUCUCGAAGAACCAAAUAAUGUUGACGACGAGACUAUAUGUCCAAGAGUGAGGAGCGAUAUUUUGCUGUUUUAUGGCGUCGACAUUUCUACAGUCUUAAUUGAUCUAAUAACGCUCAUUUUUGUUUCUCCCCACAUUAAGAAUAUUUGAGUGGAAUCGAAAUGAAGCUUGCGAUAUUAUGUAUUUGCCUUCUUCAAUUUGCAGCUGUCAACUGUAGGCUUGCAGCGCGUGACAAGACACAUCUUGUUAAAAUUAAAAGGACCGACAAUAAUUUGUCAUCAAAUGAUCUUACGGCCAAGGAAAUGGAGCUGUGGAACCAGGCGAAACCCAGAAGGUUGUUUGCCAGAAGAGGAAUCCAGAGAUUGCAUGUGACGGUGAAGCCUGCCCCCCCAACCCCUAAUUGUUCCAAGGUGAUGGAGAGCUGUAUUCCCCACUCUCGCUGCUGUGAUCCCUGUGCCUCCUGUCACUGUCGCUUCUUCAAUUCCAUCUGCCACUGCUGGAAACUGGGAUGCCACUUCCAGAAGAAAU